rnacentral:rRNA from 1 species
AUUGAACGCUGGCGGCAGGCCUAACACAUGCAAGUCGAGCGAGCGGCGGAGUGGCGAGCAAUGUAUGGGGAUCUGCCCGAUCGAGGGGGAUAACUACUGGAAACCGUGGAUAAUACCGCAUACUAUCUGAUGAACCUAUAUGGGAUUCGAUAGUAGGUGGGGUAAAGGCUAACCGAGGCGAAGAUCUCUAGCUGGGCUGAGAGGAUGACCAGCCAUACUGGAACUGAGACACGGCCCAGACUCCUACGGGAGGCAGCAGUGGGGAAUAGUGCACAAUGGGCGAAAGGCUGAUGCAGCAAUGCCGCGUGUAUGAAGAAGGCCUUAGGAUUGUAAAGUACUUUCAGCAGGGAGGCGUUACCCACACAAGAAGCACCGGCUAACUCCGUGCCAGCAGCCGCGGUAAUUC